UACGAAGGGGGCUAGCGUUGCUCGGAAUCACUGGGCGUAAAGCGCACGUAGGCGGAUUGUUAAGUCAGGGGUGAAAUCCUGGAGCUCAACUCCAGAACUGCCUUUGAUACUGGCGAUCUCGAGUCCGGGAGAGGUGAGUGGAACUGCGAGUGUAGAGGUGAAAUUCGUAGAUAUUCGCAAGAACACCAGUGGCGAAGGCGGCUCACUGGCCCGGUACUGACGCUGAGGUGACGAAAGCGUGGGGAGCAACAGG
rnacentral:rRNA from 1 species